AUGUGUGUGUUUUUCUUCCUUGCUUUUUUGCUUUCUUUUGUUUUUAGGAAUAGGGAAAAUCUGUACUACAGACAGAAAACAAGAGGAAAGACUGAAGGUCCUCUCUGCGGAAGCAGGACACAGCUGAGACCAACAAAGGACUGGACACUUGUCCAUUCAAGCAUCCAAGAUGUACCCUCCUGGACUGAAUAUGAACCCCUGCAAAUAUGAUGGUAACAGCGGGAGAAACUGGACUGGAAUAUGAGCUGAUGUUAAGAAAUUAUCAAUUUUGUUGAGUAAUAUAAUGAUAGGGUGAUUGGGAAGGAAAAUAUACUUUUUAAAGAGAUUCAUACUGACUUUGGAGGAAAGGCUGGGAAACGUCAUGUCUGUUAAGUGCUUUAACUCACUACAGCAAAAAAAGAGAUCAAGCAAAUAUGAUCAAAUGUUUCAAAGUAUUAAAUCAAGAUGAUAUAUGAGUUUUCACUAUCUUAUCCUAUCUAAUUUUCUCUGUACUUAAAAACUUUCAAGAAUAAACAGUAAACAAGAAAUGAAAGGCCA
ensembl:lncRNA